CCUACGGGAGGCUGCAGUGGGGAAUAUUGGACAAUGGGGGGAACCCUGAUCCAGCCAUGCCGCGUGUGUGAAGAAGGCCCUCGGGUUGUAAAGCACUUUCAGUGAGGAAGAACGCCUGGUGGUUAAUACCCAUCAGGAAAGACAUCACUCACAGAAGAAGCACCGGCUAACUCCGUGCCAGCAGCCGCGGUAAUACGGAGGGUGCGAGCGUUAAUCGGAAUUACUGGGCGUAAAGCGCGCGUAGGUGGCUUGAUAAGCCGGUUGUGAAAGCCCCGGGCUCAACCUGGGAACGGCAUCCGGAACUGUCAAGCUAGAGUGCAGGAGAGGAAGGUAGAAUUCCCGGUGUAGCGGUGAAAUGCGUAGAGAUCGGGAGGAAUACCAGUGGCGAAGGCGGCCUUCUGGACUGACACUGACACUGAGGUGCGAAAGCGUGGGUAGCAAACAGGAUUAGAUACCCUGUAGUC
rnacentral:rRNA from 1 species